GGUCGGGUAGCGUGCAGCCAUGCAAUACCUGGGCAACCGGGAAAAACUGUGGGCCGUGUUGGCGGUGUUGAAGUGCCCGACCACCCUCUC
rnacentral:ncRNA from 1 species